GUGUCAGCCGCCGCGGUAAUACGUAGGUGGCAAGCGUUACUCGGAAUCACUAGGCGUAAAGCGCAGGUAGGAGGUUUGGUAAGUCUGUUGUGAAAGCUCCCGGCUCAACUGGGAGAGGUCAACGGAAACUACUAGGCUAGAGUGUGGUAGAGGUAGCUGGAAUUCCCGGUGUAGCGGUGAAAUGCGUAGAUAUCGGGAGGAAUACCUAUGGCGAAAGCAGGCUACUGGACCAUCACUGACUCUGAUCUGCGAAAGCUAGGGGAGCAAACAGGAUUAGAAACCCUCGUAGUCC
rnacentral:rRNA from 1 species